UACGUAGGGGGCAAGCGUUGUCCGGAAUCAUUGGGCGUAAAGAGCGUGUAGGCGGCCCGGUAAGUCCGCUGUGAAAGUCCAGGGCUCAACCCUGGAAUGCCGGUGGAAACUGUCGGGCUAGAGUCCGGAAGAGGCGAGUGGAAUUCCUGGGUGUAGCGGUGAAAUGCGCAGAUAUCAGGAGGAACACCAAUGGCGAAGGCAGCUCGCUGGGACGGUACUGACGCUGAGACGCGAAAGCGUGGGGAGCAAACAGGG
rnacentral:rRNA from 1 species